rnacentral:rRNA from 1 species
AUUGAACGCUGGCGGCAGGCCUAACACAUGCGAGUCGAGCGGAUGAAGGGAGCUUGCUCCUGGAUUCAGCGGCGGACGGGUGAGUAAUGCCUAGGAAUCUGCCUGGUAGUGGGGGAUAACGUCCGGAAACGGGCGCUAAUACCGCAUACGUCCUGAGGGAGAAAGUGGGGGAUCUUCGGACCUCACGCUAUCAGAUGAGCCUAGGUCGGAUUAGCUAGUUGGUGGGGUAAAGGCCUACCAAGGCGACGAUCCGUAACUGGUCUGAGAGGAUGGUCAGUCACACUGGAACUGAGACACGGUCCAGACUCCUACGGGAGGCAGCAGUGGGGAAUAUUGGACAAUGGGCGAAAGCCUGAUCCAGCCAUGCCGCGUGUGUGAAGAAGGUCUUCGGAUUGUAAAGCACUUUAAGUUGGGAGGAAGGGCAGUUAGUUAAUACCUUGCUGUUUUGACGUUACCAACAGAAUAAGCACCGGCUAACUUCGUG